UCAAGCGACCAAGGGCAUAAGGUGAAUGCCUUGGCACUGAGAGCCGAAGAAGGACGUGAUAAGCUGCGAAAAGUCUCGGGGAGGAGCAAAUAUCCAUUGAUCCGUGAAUAUCCGAAUGGGGAAACCCACUUGAGCAAACCUCAAGUAUCUUGUUGUGAAUACAUAGCAACAAGAGGGAAUAGUUGGUGAACUGAAACAUCUAAGUAGCCAGACGAAAAGAAAGAAAAAAUUCGAUUUUCAAAGUAGCGGCGAGCGAAAUGGAAAGAGCCCAAAUUAAGUCAAGGGAGAAGAAGGAUAGUAGAAUGGUAUGGGAAGACCAACCGAAGAAAGUGAAAGUCUUGUAAACGAAAUCCAACUGAUUCUGGCUUAGAAAGAGUAGCAUGGGACACGAGAAAUCCUGUGUGAAUAUAGGGGGACCACCCCCUAAGGCUAAAUACUACUCAGUGACCGAUAGAGAAUAGUACCGUGAGGGAAAGGUGAAAAGAACCCCGGGAGGGGAGUGAAAUAGAACCUGAAACCUUAUGCCUACAAGCAGAUAGAGUCUUAAGAGAGAUGAUAUCGUACUUUUUGUAGAACGGGCCAGCGAGUUAUGGUGUGCGGCAAGGUUAAGUAAUGAAGUUACGGAGCCGUAGGGAAACCGAGUCUGAAUAGGGCGAGAUAGUCGUAUGCCAUAGACCCGAAACCAGGUGAUCUAUCCAUGAGCAGGUUGAAGUGAAAGUAAAAUUUCAUGGAGGACCGAACCGGGUAGCGUUUAAAAGCUAUCGGAUGACUUGUGGAUAGGGGUGAAAAGCCAAUCGAACUUGGAGAUAGCUGGUUCUCCUCGAAAUAGCUUUAGGGCUAGCCUCAAUUUAGUUUACAGGGGGUAGAGCACUGAAUACCGUAGGGGUGUUAGACAUUACCGAAAGUUAUCAAACUGCGAAUACCUGAUAAAUGAUGAUUGGGAGUCAGACUAUGUGGGAUAAGCUUCAUAGUCAAAAGGGAAAGAGCCCAGACCACCAGCUAAGGUCCCUAAAUAUAGAUUAAGUGGUAAAGGAUGUUUUACUACUUAGACAACCAGGAUGUUGGCUUAGAAGCAGCCAUACAUUUAAAGAGUGCGUAAUAGCUCACUGGUCAAGUGGUAGAGCGCCGAAAAUGAACGGGGCUAAAAUCUAAUACCGAAGCUGUGGACUAAUGAAAAUUAGUGGUAGAGGAGCAUUGUGUAAGGGGCGAAGCUAAGUUGGAAGACGAAGUGGACUUUACAGAAGAGAGAAUGCUGGCAUGAGUAGCGAAAAGGAGGGUGAGAAUCCCUCCCGUCGAAAGCCUAAGGAUUCCUGAGGAAGGCUCGUCCUCUCAGGGUAAGUCGGGACCUAAGCCCAGGCUGAAAAGCGUAAGCGAUGGACAACAGGUUGAGAUUCCUGUACUAUCUUUGAAUGUUUGAGAGAUGUACUGACGCAGGAGGAUAUGUUGAGCGUGUGAAUGGUAGAGCACGUCUAAGCAAGUAGGUAGAGAAUAGAGGCAAAUCCCUAUUCUUAAUAUCGAGAUGCGAUGGGGAGCGAAAAAUAAGUAGUGAAGCAACAGAUUCCAAACUGCCAAGAAAAGGUACUAUUGAGUGAGAAGAUACCCGUACCAAAACCGACACAGGUAGGCAAGGAGAGAAUCCUAAGACGCGCGGAAGAACCUUUGUUAAGGAACUCGGCAAAAUGACCCCGUAACUUCGGGAGAAGGGGUACCAUUAGAUGUGAAGUACUUACGUAUGGAGCAUAGAGUGGUCGCAGAGAAUAGGCCCAAGCAACUGUUUACCAAAAACACAAGUCUCUGCUAAAUCGAAAGAUGAAGUAUAGGGGCUGACACCUGCCCGGUGCUGGAAGGUUAAGGGGAAAUGUUAGAGCAAUCGAAGCAUAGAACUUAAGCCCCAGUAAACGGCGGCCGUAACUAUAACGGUCCUAAGGUAGCGAAAUUCCUUGUCGGGUAAGUUCCGACCCGCACGAAAGGUGUAAUGAUUUGGGCACUGUCUCAACAAAGGAUCCGGUGAAAUUGUAGUAGUCGUGAAGAUGCGACUUACCCACGAUAGGACGGAAAGACCCCGUGGAGCUUUACUGUAGGCUGGCAUUGGAAUUUGGUAUUAAAUGUACAGGAUAGGUGGGAGACAUUGAAGCGAGAGCGCCAGUUUUCGUGGAGUCAACGUUGGGAUACCACUCUUUUGAUACUAAAUUUCUAACUUGAUACUCUGAAGCGAGUAUAAGGACACUGUCAGUUGGGCAGUUUGACUGGGGCGGUCGCCUCCUAAAGAGUAACGGAGGCGUUCAAAGG
rnacentral:rRNA from 1 species